AAUUAAGGACGACAGCACUUGGAGGAUGUAUAGCAAUAGCUACUUGCAUCAUUCUAGAGAUGAUGCAAGCUCGACUAUGUCGAAUAAAAUUCUAGGUAGAAUUAUGAUGAUGACAUUGUCUGCCUAUAAGUCUUGACCAAAUUACGUGCCAGCAGUCGCGGUAAUACGUAGAAGACUAGUGUUAAUCAUGUUUAAUCGGUUUAAAGGGUACCUAGACGGUAAAUCAAGCCUAAAAAAAGGGACUAAUAUGCUAGAGUUACUUAUGAGGGGGUAUUAAAGUACUGAUGGUGUAGAGAUGAAAUUCUGUCAUACCUAUGUUCUAUGAAAGUAGAAUAAUGAUGGCACAGGUAUAGGCGAAAGCAUCCCCUUAUGUGAUAACUGACGUUGAGGGACGAAGGCUUUGUGUAGCGAACAGGAUUAGAUACCCCAGUAGUCGAAGCAGAAAAUGAUGAGUGUCAUAGAUUAGAUGUCUAAGUUUAUUCUAUAAAUGAAAGUGUAAGCAUUCCACCUCAAGAGUAAUUUGGCAACAUUGGAACUGAAAUCAUUAGACCGUUUCUGAAACCAGUAGUGAAGUAUGUUGUUUAAUUUGAUGAUCCGCAAAAAACCUUACCACAAUUUGAAUAUUUAUAUCUUUUAUUGCUUUUUACUACUUAUUAUUGUUCUCGAUUCAGAAAACAUGAAUAAAUUAAUAAGAGGCAAUAAGAUAUAUUUACAAGCGUUGCACGGCUGUCUUCAGUUAAUGUCGCGAGACUUUGGCUAGUUCCAUUAAUUAACGUAAACCCUUACUUUAUUUUUUAUAUUAAGUAGUUCCCCGCUACAUUGGACAAGAUAACAGGGACUAAGGACCAAGUCAUCAUGGCCCUAAUGCUGUAGGCUUUGGACGUUACACCUAUCACACAUAAAAAACCU
rnacentral:rRNA from 1 species